rnacentral:tRNA from 1 species
UGGGUUGUGGCUCAGUGGUAGAGCACUUGCCUAGCACGUGUGAGGCCCUGGGUUCAAACCUCAGCACCACAU